AUUGAACGCUGGCGGCAUGCUUUACACAUGCAAGUCGAACGGUAACAGGCCGCAAGGUGCUGACGAGUGGCGAACGGGUGAGUAAUGCAUCGGAACGUGCCCAGUCGUGGGGGAUAACGCAGCGAAAGCUGCGCUAAUACCGCAUACGAUCUCUGGAUGAAAGCGGGGGACCGAAAGGCCUCGCGCGAUUGGAGCGGCCGAUGUCAGAUUAGGUAGUUGGUGGGGUAAAGGCCCACCAAGCCAACGAUCUGUAGCUGGUCUGAGAGGACGACCGGCCACACUGGGACUGAGACGCGGCCCAGACUCCGACGGGAGGCAGCAGUGGGGAAUUUUGGACAAUGGGCGCAAGCCUGAUCCAGCAAUGCCGCGUGCAGGAAGAAGGCCUUCGGGUUGUAAACUGCUUUUGUACGGAACGAAACGGUCCGGGUUAAUACCCUGGGCUAAUGACGGUACCGUAAGAAUAAGCACCGGCUAACUACGUGCCAGCAGCCGCCGUAAAAC
rnacentral:rRNA from 1 species